CCUCAAUCUGUUCCUCUGCAGUCUGUGGAGUGCAGUCUGGAAGAGACUGCUGGUGGGGGACCAUCAAUCUGUUACUCUGCAGUCUGUGGAGUGCAGUCUGGAAGAGACUGCUGGUGGGGGACCAUCAAUCUGUUACUCUGCAGUCUGUGGAGUGCAGUCUGGGAGAGACUGCUGGUGGGGGACCAUCAAUCUGUUCCUCUGCAGUCUGUGGAGUGCAGUCUGGAAGAGACUGCUGGUGGGGGACCAUCAAUCUGUUCCUCUGCAGUCUGUGGAGUGCAGUCUGGAAGAGACUGCUGGUGGGGGACCAUCAAUCUGUUACUCUGCAGUCUGUGGAGUGCAGUCUGGAAGAGACUGCUGGUGGGGGACCAUCAAUCUGUUCCUCUGCAGUCUGUGGAGUGCAGUCUGGAAGAGACUGCUGGUGGGGGACCAUCAAUCUGUUACUCUGCAGUCUGUGGAGUGCAGUCUGGAAGAGACUGCUGGUGGGGGACCAUCAAUCUGUUACUCUGCAGUCUGUGGAGUGCAGUCUGGAAGAGACUGCUGGUGGGGGACCAUCAAUCUGUUACUCUGCAGUCUGUGGAGUGCAGUCUGGGAGAGACUGCUGGUGGGGGACCAUCAAUCUGUUACUCUGCAGUCUGUGGAGUGCAGUCUGGAAGAGACUGCUGGUGGGGGACCAUCAAUCUGUUCCUCUGCAGUCUGUGGAGUGCAGUCUGGAAGAGACUGCUGGUGGGGGACCAUCAAUCUGUUACUCUGCAGUCUGUGGAGUGCAGUCUGGAAGAGACUGCUGGUGGGGGACCAUCAAUCUGUUCCUCUGCAGUCUGUGGAGUGCAGUCUGGAAGAGACUGCUGGUGGGGGACCAUCAAUCUGUUCCUCUGCAGUCUGUGGAGUGCAGUCUGGAAGAGACUGCUGGUGGGGGACCAUCAAUCUGUUACUCUGCAGUCUGUGGAGUGCAGUCUGGAAGAGACUGCUGGUGGGGGACCAUCAAUCUGUUCCUCUGCAGUCUGUGGAGUGCAGUCUGGUAGAGACUGCUGGUGGGGGACCAUCAAUCUGUUCCUCUGCAGUCUGGAAGAGACUGCUGGGGGGGGACCAUCAAUCUGUUCCUCUGCAGUCUGUGGAGUGCAGUCUGGGAGAGACUGCUGGUGGGGGACCAUCAAUCUGUUCCUCUGCAGUCUGUGGAGUGCAGUCUGGAAGAGACUGCUGGUGGGGGACCAUCAAUCUGUUCCUCUGCAGUCUGUGGAGUGCAGUCUGGAAGAGACUGCUGGUGGGGGACCAUCAAUCUGUUCCUCUGCAGUCUGUGGAGUGCAGUCUGGAAGAGACUGCUGGUGGGGGACCAUCAAUCUGUUACUCUGCAGUCUGUGGAGUGCAGUCUGGAAGAGACUGCUGGUGGGGGACCAUCAAUCUGUUCCUCUGCAGUCUGUGGAGUGCAGUCUGGAAGAGACUGCUGGUGGGGGACCAUCAAUCUGUUCCUCUGCAGUCUGUGGAGUGCAGUCUGGUAGAGACUGCUGGUGGGGGACCAUCAAUCUGUUACUCUGCAGUCUGUGGAGUGCAGUCUGGUAGAGACUGCUGGUGGGGGACCAUCAAUCUGUUCCUCUGCAGUCUGUGGAGUGCAGUCUGGAAGAGACUGCUGGUGGGGGACCAUCAAUCUGUUCCUCUGCAGUCUGUGGAGUGCAGUCUGGAAGAGACUGCUGGUGGGGGACCAUCAAUCUGUUACUCUGCAGUCUGUGGAGUGCAGUCUGGAAGAGACUGCUGGUGGGGGACCAUCAAUCUGUCCCUCUGCAGUCUGUGGAGUGCAGUCUGGAAGAGACUGCUGGUGGGGGACCAUCAAAAAAAAAAAACUGAGAAAGAACCUAUCGAUUGUUCCUACAACAUAACAACACUGACAUUCCUGCCCCAAUCCCUAAUGGUGUCCAGUGUUGUUCCUACAACAUAACAACACUGACAUUCCUGCCCCAAUCCCUAAUGGUGUCCAGUGUUGUUCCUACAACAUAACAACACUGACAUUCCUGCCCCAAUCCCUAAUGGUGUCCAGUGUUGUUCCUAAAACAUAACAACACUGACAUUCCUGCCCCAAUCCCUAAUGGUGUCCAGUGUUGUUCCUACAACAUAACAACACUUACAGAUGUGACAACAUUUCUAAUCAAUACUGAAAUUCUAUGCUUAGAUUGUUGAUACAAUGGUUUACCUGGAAGAGACUGUGCAA
rnacentral:lncRNA from 1 species